rnacentral:rRNA from 1 species
GAGUUUGAUCCUGGCUCAGGACGAACGCUGGCGGCGUGCUUAACACAUGCAAGUCGAACGAUGAACCACUUCGGUGGGGAUUAGUGGCGAACGGGUGAGUAACACGUGGGCAAUCUGCCCUGCACUCUGGGACAAGCCCUGGAAACGGGGUCUAAUACCGGAUAACACUCCUCCUCGCAUGGGGAGGGGUUCAAAGCUCCGGCGGUGCAGGAUGAGCCCGCGGCCUAUCAGCUUGUUGGUGAGGUAGUGGCUCACCAAGGCGACGACGGGUAGCCGGCCUGAGAGGGCGACCGGCCACACUGGGACUGAGACACGGCCCAGACUCCUACGGGAGGCAGCAGUGGGGAAUAUUGCACAAUGGGCGAAAGCCUGAUGCAGCGACGCCGCGUGAGGGAUGACGGCCUUCGGGUUGUAAACCUCUUUCAGCAGGGAAGAAGCGAAAGUGACGGUACCUGCAGAAGAAGCGCCGGCUAACUACGUGCCAGCAGCCGCGGUAAUACGUAGGGCGCAAGCGUUGUCCGGAAUUAUUGGGCGUAAAGAGCUCGUAGGCGGCUUGUCACGUCGGUUGUGAAAGCCCGGGGCUUAACCCCGGGUCUGCAGUCGAUACGGGCAGGCUAGAGUUCGGUAGGGGAGAUCGGAAUUCCUGGUGUAGCGGUGAAAUGCGCAGAUAUCAGGAGGAACACCGGUGGCGAAGGCGGAUCUCUGGGCCGAUACUGACGCUGAGGAGCGAAAGCGUGGGGAGCGAACAGGAUUAGAUACCCUGGUAGUCCACGCCGUAAACGGUGGGCACUAGGUGUGGGCAACAUUCCACGUUGUCCGUGCCGCAGCUAACGCAUAAGUGC